rnacentral:rRNA from 1 species
UGGCGAACGGGUGAGUAACACGUGGGUGAUCUGCCCUGCACUCUGGGAUAAGCCUGGGAAACUGGGUCUAAUACCGGAUAGGACCACACUUUAGUGUGUGUGGUGGAAAGUUUUUCGGUGUAGGAUGAGCCCGCGGCCUAUCAGCUUGUUGGUGGGGUAAUGGCCUACCAAGGCGGCGACGGGUAGCCGGACUGAGAGGUUGGUCGGCCACAUUGGGACUGAGAUACGGCCCAG